UACGUAGGGGGCAAGCGUUGUCCGGAUUUAUUGGGCGUAAAGCGCGUGUAGGUGGCCAUGUAGGUCCGCUGUGAAAACUUGAGGCUCGACCUCAAGCUGUCGGUGGAAACCCCAUGGCUAGAGUCCGGAAGAGGAGAGUGGAAUUCCUGGUGUAGCGGUGAAAUGCGCAGAUAUCAGGAAGAACACCAAUGGCGAAGGCAGCUCUCUGGGACGGUACUGACGACUG
rnacentral:rRNA from 1 species